rnacentral:rRNA from 1 species
AUUGAACGCUGGCGGCAGGCCUAACACAUGCAAGUCGAGCGAGCGGCGGAAGGGGGAGUAAUGUAUGGGAAACUGCCCGAUAGAGGGGGAUAACUACUGGAAACGGUGGCUAAUACCGCAUACUAUCGGAUGAACCCAUAUGGGAUAAGCUAGUAGGUGGGGUAAAGGCUCACCUAGGCGACGUUCCCUAGCUGGUCUGAGAGGAUGAUCAGCAAUACCAGAACGGAGACACGGACCAGACUCCGACGGGAGUCAGGAGUGGGGAAUAUUGCACAAUGGGCGUAAGCCUGAUGCAGCCAUGACGCGUGUAUGAAGAAGGCCUUCGGGUUGUAAAGUACUUUCAGCGGGGAGGAGUUACCCGCAGAAGAAGCACCGGCUAACUACGUGCCAGCAGCCGCGGUAAUUC